ACUACGGGUCGCAGCAGUGGGGAAUAUUGCACAAUGGGGGAAACCCUGAUGCAGCAACGCCGCGUGAGUGAAGAAGUAUUUCGGUAUGUAAAGCUCUAUCAGCAGGGAAGAAGAUGACGGUACCUGAAUAAGAAGCCCCGUCUAACUACGUGCCAGCAGCCGCCGUAAUAAGUAGGGGGCAAGCGUUAUCCGGAUUUACUGGGUGUAAAGGGAGCGCAUACGGCAGUGCAAGUCUGGAGUGAAAGCUCGGGGCCCAACCCCGGAACUGCUCUGGAAACUGUGUGUCUAGAGUACUGGAGGGGCAGGCGGAAUGCCUAGUGUAGCGGUGAAAUGCGGAGAUAUUAGGAGGAACACCAGUGGCGAAGGCAGCAUGCUGGACAGUAACUGACGUUGAGGCUCGAAAGCGUGGGGAGCAAACAGGAUUAGAUACCCCAGUAGUC
rnacentral:rRNA from 1 species